rnacentral:rRNA from 1 species
GACGAACGCUGGCGGCGUGCCUAAUACAUGCAAGUAGAACGCUGAAGAGAGGAGCUUGCUCUUCUUGGAUGAGUUGCGAACGGGUGAGUAACGCGUAGGUAACCUGCCUUGUAGCGGGGGAUAACUAUUGGAAACGAUAGCUAAUACCGCAUAACAAUGGAUGACACAUGUCAUUUAUUUGAAAGGGGCAAUUGCUCCACUACAAGAUGGACCUGCGUUGUAUUAGCUAGUAGGUGAGGUAACGGCUCACCUAGGCGACGAUACAUAGCCGACCUGAGAGGGUGAUCGGCCACACUGGGACUGAGACACGGCCCAGACUCCUACGGGAGGCAGCAGUAGGGAAUCUUCGGCAAUGGGGGCAACCCUGACCGAGCAACGCCGCGUGAGUGAAGAAGGUUUUCGGAUCGUAAAGCUCUGUUGUAAGUCAAGAACGAGUGUGAGAGUGGAAAGUUCACACUGCGACGGUAGCUUACCAGAAAGGGACGGCUAACUACGUG